UCCAAGGGACACGCGCCCGCUUCCUGCCCGGCUGUCUCUUGAUCUUUCUCCUCCCCCUCUGCUACCUCACUCCUCACUCUUUUCUUCCCCGCCUAGAUCCCCUUUCUCAUCAAGCUCGUCGGCCACGCCGCCGCUCACCGUUGCAACGCCAGCCGCAGGGACCGGCGGGAUCCGCCAGCCGUCGGUCCGGAUCGACAUCCACGCCUCUGGCUCCGACAUGCACGCCUGCUAGACAUCGCCGUGAACCACCUCGUUUUUCCGGAACCUCUUGAACCAAUUCUGCCUUUCUCGGUUCCAUCAGCCGCGGCGGUCAUCCUCCUCCCUGAGCAACUACAGGGACCGUGACGGGCUCUGCUUCUGGACAACGGACUCGAAGGCACGGGUCCCUCCUAAUUCUUCCUCGACCGCUAACCGCCAUUGACGCCGUCCGUCCUCUCGCCUCCCUGAUCCGUCUGACCCGGCCGCCAUGAACAGCAAGGACAUUCAUGAGGGUUUGAAUUUUUCUGCUGCUGACGAUGAAUCCUACUUUGGAAUCCUUUCAAUAAAGUUUUUAAAAGAUGGCCGUGAACUUGUUAUUGGAAACAGCAAUGAGUCAAUAUGUAUUUAUGAUCUUUGAGCAAACAAAGUGACAGAGCGAAUUCAUGCUCAUGUGUCCUGUGCAGGCUGGAAGUUGUCUCCUUCGGGCCUGCAUUAUUUGGCCUACGGAUACAUGAAUAUAUCCUCUGUAUUUAGUUUAUUCCUCUCCCUCACGGUGAGCUUGGAGCCAAAGACCUCAUGUGCUGCGAAUUUCAUAACAGAGGAGAUUGGAAGAUGGAGAAGAAAGGGACAAGGGAGAGGUUCGAUUGGUUUGGUGCCUUUUUUUAGAUCGAUGAGCGCCUAUGCCUGGCCGGUGAGGGCAUGGCCUCGAUGGAGAUAGGAAGGAUGGAUAGGGAGAGGCGGCCCUCAGCCACGGUCGCCCACGCCCAGCCUCGAUCCCCUCUGGAUCGGGAUCGGGAGAGCCAGCGCCUGAUCCCUGCCUCGCCUCGCCACCUCGACGUCGGCGAGCCCCGCCAGAACCAGCUUCCCAAGCGCUGCCCUGCCUUCCUCCUCUUCAUCUCCUUUCUCUCAUUCCUCUCGUUUUCCCCUUCCUCCAUCCCGUGCUCUCUCUUAUCUCUCUCUCUUUGUUCGAACAGGAGGUACUCAGCCGCCCCAGCUAGGCCCAGCCAAGCCUAGUUAACCUUCCGUUGAGAUGGAUGGCGGCGCGGAGACAACGAGGUCGCCGGCAAGUGCAACGACGACCGACUGGCGGAGGCUUUGGUCGAGUGGUGAGCGAGAGCCCUCCUAGGCGGCGAACAGCGAGGAGCUCGGGCGCGCGGAGGAGAGGAGGAUCUGAGGCUUAACGGUGGUGCAGGGUGCUACGUUCGCCGGCGCGGCUCCGGAUCGAGCGUCGCGCGGGGUGGGGCGCCUCCUUGGCGGCUGGGAUCGGGAGGCGAGGGAGAGAGAGGAGAGCCCAUCUUGGGCCGUGGGUUGAAUACCGCAAAGUACAGGGAUUUAUUUUUAAAGUUGCCGAACGAAACGUUUUUCUCUUCAGAAAAGGAGUGCGGAUUGAAUAUGAAGAACUACAGGGACUUUUCUGUAAAAAUACCGACGACGUACGACCAGA